UACACUCCUGCGGGAGGCAGCAGUAGGGAAUCUUCCACAAUGGGUGCAAACCUGAUGGCGCAAUGCCGCGUGAGUGAAGAAGGUCUUCGGAUCGUAAAGCUCUGUUGUUAGAGACGAACACGUGCUAGGUAACUACUAGCGCCUUGAUGGUAUCUAACCAGAAAGUCACGGCUAACUACGUGCCAGCAGCCGCGGUAAUACGUAGGUGACAAGCGUUGUCCGGAUUUAUUGGGCGUAAAGGGAGCGCAGGCGGUCUGUUUAGUCUAAUGUGAAAGCCUACGGCUUAACCGUGGAACGGCAUUGGAAACUGACAGACUUGAAUGUAGAAGAGGAAAAUGGAAUUCCAAGUGUAGCGGUGGAAUGCGUAGAUAUUUGGAGGAACACCAGUGGCGAAGGCGAUUUUCUGGUCUAACAUUGACGCUGAGGCUCGAAAGCGUGGGGAGCGAACAGGAUUAGAUACCCUGGUUGUCC
rnacentral:rRNA from 1 species